GCGAGAUUGGUUUAGUGGCAGAACGAGUGCUUCCCAAGCAUUAGGCAGGAGUUCGAUUCUCCUAUCUCGCACAA
rnacentral:tRNA from 3 species